UACGGAGGGUGCAAGCGUUAUCCGGAUUCACUGGGUUUAAAGGGUGCGUAGGCGGGUAUGUAAGUCAGUGGUGAAAUCCUCGAGCUUAACUCGAGAACUGCCAUUGAUACUAUGUAUCUUGAAUGUCAUGGAGGUGAGCGGAAUAUGUCAUGUAGCGGUGAAAUGCUUAGAUAUGACAUAGAACACCGAUUGCGAAGGCAGCUCACUACACGAAUAUUGACGCUGAGGCACGAAAAGCGUGGGGAUCAAACAGG
rnacentral:rRNA from 1 species